AUCGCAUGAUGCAGUGUGAAAAACUCCGGUGGUAUAAGAUGGACCCGCGUUGGAUUAGCUAGUUGGUGAGGUAACGGCCCACCAAGGCGACGAUCCAUAGCCGACCUGAGAGGGUGACCGGCUACAUUGGGACUGAGACACGGCCCAAACUCCUACGGGAGGCAGCAGUGGGGAAUAUUGCACAAUGGGCGAAAGCCUGAUGCAGCGACGCCGCGUGAGCGAAGAAGUAUUUCGGUAUGUAAAGCUCUAUCAGCAGGGAAGAUAAUGACGGUACCUGACUAAGAAGCACCGGCUAAAUACGUGCCAGCAGCCGCGGUAAUACGUAUGGUGCAAGCGUUAUCCGGAUUUACUGGGUGUAAAGGGAGCGCAGGCGGUGCGGCAAGUCUGAUGUGAAAGCCCGGGGCUCAACCCCGGUACUGCAUUGGAAACUGUCGUACUAGAGUGUCGGAGGGGUAAGCGGAAUUCCUAGUGUAGCGGUGAAAUGCGUAGAUAUUAGGAGGAACACCAGUGGCGAAGGCGGCUUACUGGACGAUAACUGACGCUGAGGCUCGAAAGCGUGGGGAGCAAACAGGAUUAGAUACCCUGGUAGUCCACGCCGUA
rnacentral:rRNA from 1 species